rnacentral:lncRNA from 1 species
AAUUCUUGUCUUAGAAGUUAUAUAUGGUGAUCUAUGUUCACAAACAUUGGUGGCAAAAUUGGGUCAGAGAAGUUUAUGAUUUGCCAUGAUGAUAGUUCCCUUGUGACUUCUUAUGAUUCUGGCAUGGUACUUAGUGGGAGACUUUCUUGUAUUGGUUGUGGUCUUAAGCAUAAAUCAAGUCCAAGCAAGUAUUUGUGAUGCUCCUAGUUUGAAAACUUCUUCAAUGAUUGUCAUAUAUAUGAUAGUCUUGGUUUUGAUUCCUCAAGGAACUCUAUAUUUCUAGCACAUUUCUUGUACUUGUAUAGGAAGAUUGCACUGGUAGCAAGAGC